AAGAGUGGAGAAGAGCAAGUGGAGGAGAGAGAGAGAGAGAGAGAGAGAGAAGGGAGGGGGAAGAGAGACAGAAGGAAGGGCAAGGGAUGGGCCUGAGCCCGUCAGCAGCCUGAGGGGGAUGAGUGGCCAUGGCGGCACUGGCAGCAAGGAAGGGUCCAGGCAACCACUGCUGCUGUUUGGGGUUACUGAGGCCAUUGUAAGAGGGAGGCAGUCAGGGAUGGGCCUGGGCCUGUCAGCGGCCUGAGGGGAACAAGCAGCCAUGGUGGUGGCGGCAGCGAGGAACGGCCCGGUCAACCACUGCUGCUGCUCCUGAAGGGAGGAGCAGUAGCGGGGAGCAGAUUCUGGAGCAAUUGCAGAACAUUAUCCCUCCAUAUGCAAUUUGAAAAAUGAUUCCAGGAAAACACUGCCAAAAUAUAACCUGGAAAAGGCCAUUGUACCUUUCUCUAAUGGACCUCCAUAUCUUUACUGGAUUAUCUGGAUUCACAGGAAAUCUUAAAUUUCAAGAGAUCACACAGGAAAAAGGUUUGGGAAUUCCAGGUUAAGAAAUUCAGAUGAAAGAAUCCUACAAGCAGGAAUUUUCCAUGGUCAUGUCCCCUCUCUCUUCAAUAUUGCUGUGUUUAAGGAUAGUAAGAAGAAAAACAAAGAUAAGAAAAGGAACUGAGAAGAUGCAGAAGAUCAGCUUGAUAUUGUUAGUUAGCUGACUUUUUGGUGGAGAAGGCUGGUGGACAGUGACAAAUUUUGGUGAAUCAUUGCAAUAAAGAUGGGUCAUGGAACUUAUAUCAAUACUCUUGACAAUGGCUUUCUUACUCUUGGAGCACUACAUAAAGAUCAGAACAUGUACUGAAAGAGAAGCCAAGCAGAAAGAUGACAUUCCAGAAGAAGACAAAUGAAAUGUUAAGUCAUGUGAAACCAACUAUGUGUGUCUAGUAGCCUUCUUGAUUAGCAGUAAAAGCCAUUUUUAUCAGAGUGCAAAUAAAUCUGUGUCCCUGACUGAAAAUCUUAAAAGGCCUUGGGGUCCUGAUGGCCACUUCUAAAGCUGAGCAGACUUCAUUCCAUAUGCUGCUGGCACUCAAUCGUCUGGAGAUCAAAAUUGGAAGCUGACAGAUAGUGCAAACAGGCAAAACAAUGGAUGGCCUUUACUUUUCUCUUCCUUCACUGGUGGCUCUUCUGAGAGCAAAUGCUUUGAAUAAAACAUUUUUGAAUAAAUUUUAAUUACAUAAA